rnacentral:rRNA from 1 species
GAGCACUGUUUCGGCAAGGGGGUCAUCCCGACUUACCAACCCGAUGCAAACUGCGAAUACCGGAGAAUGUUAUCACGGGAGACACACGGCGGGUGCUAACGUCCGUCGUGAAGAGGGAAACAACCCAGACCGCCAGCUAAGGUCCCAAAGUCAUGGUUAAGUGGGAAACGAUGUGGGAAGGCCCAGACAGCCAGGAUGUUGGCUUAGAAGCAGCCAUCAUUUAAAGAAAGCGUAAUAGCUCACUGGUCGAGUCGGCCUGCGCGGAAGAUGUAACGGGGCUAAACCAUGCACCGAAGCUGCGGCAGCGACACUAUGUGUUGUUGGGUAGGGGAGCGUUCUGUAAGCCUGUGAAGGUGUGCUGUGAGGCACGCUGGAGGUAUCAGAAGUGCGAAUGCUGACAUAAGUAACGAUAAAGCGGGUGAAAAGCCCGCUCGCCGGAAGACCAAGGGUUCCUGUCCAACGUUAAUCGGGGCAGGGUGAGUCGACCCCUAAGGCGAGGCCGAAAGGCGUAGUCGAUGGGAAACAGGUUAAUAUUCCUGUACUUGGUGUUACUGCGAAGGGGGGACGGAGAAGGCUAUGUUGGCCGGGCGACGGUUGUCCCGGUUUAAGCGUGUAGGCUGGUUUUCCAGGCAAAUCCGGAAAAUCAAGGCUGAGGCGUGAUGACGAGGCACUACGGUGCUGAAGCAACAAAUGCCCUGCUUCCAGGAAAAGCCUCUAAGCAUCAGGUAACAUCAAAUCGUACCCCAAACCGACACAGGUGGUCAGGUAGAGAAUACCAAGGCGCUUGAGAGAACUCGGGUGAAGGAACUAGGCAAAAUGGUGCCGUAACUUCGGGAGAAGGCACGCUGAUAUGUAGGUGAAGUCCCUCGCGGAUGGAGCUGAAAUCAGUCGAAGAUACCAGCUGGCUGCAACUGUUUAUUAAAAACACAGCACUGUGCAAACACGAAAGUGGACGUAUACGGUGUGACGCCUGCCCGGUGCCGGAAGGUUAAUUGAUGGGGUCAGCGCAAGCGAAGCUCUUGAUCGAAGCCCCGGUAAACGGCGGCCGUAACUAUAACGGUCCUAAGGUAGCGAAAUUCCUUGUCGGGUAAGUUCCGACCUGCACGAAUGGCGUAAUGAUGGCCAGGCUGUCUCCACCCGAGACUCAGUGAAAUUGAACUCGCUGUGAAGAUGCAGUGUACCCGCGGCAAGACGGAAAGACCCCGUGAACCUUUACUAUAGCUUGACACUGAACAUUGAGCCUUGAUGUGUAGGAUAGGUGGGAGGCUUUGAAGUGUGGACGCCAGUCUGCAUGGAGCCGACCUUGAAAUACCACCCUUUAAUGUUUGAUGUUCUAACGUGGACCCGUAAUCCGGGUUGCGGACAGUGUCUGGUGGGUAGUUUGACUGGGGCGGUCUCCUCCUAAAGAGUAACGGAGGAGCACGAAGGUUGGCUAAUCCUGGUCGGACAUCAGGAGGUUAGUGCAAUGGCAUAAGCCAGCUUGACUGCGAGCGUGACGGCGCGAGCAGGUGCGAAAGCAGGUCAUAGUGAUCCGGUGGUUCUGAAUGGAAGGGCCAUCGCUCAACGGAUAAAAGGUACUCCGGGGAUAACAGGCUGAUACCGCCCAAGAGUUCAUAUCGACGGCGGUGUUUGGCACCUCGAUGUCGGCUCAUCACAUCCUGGGGCUGAAGUAGGUCCCAAGGGUAUGGCUGUUCGCCAUUUAAAGUGGUACGCGAGCUGGGUUUAGAACGUCGUGAGACAGUUCGGUCCCUAUCUGCCGUGGGCGCUGGAGAACUGAGGGGGGCUGCUCCUAGUACGAGAGGACCGGAGUGGACGCAUCACUGGUGUUCGGGUUGUCAUGCCAAUGGCACUGCCCGGUAGCUAAAUGCGGAAGAGAUAAGUGCUGAAAGCAUCUAAGCACGAAACUUGCCCCGAGAUGAGUUCUCCCUGACCCUUUAAGGGUCCUGAA